rnacentral:rRNA from 1 species
GAGGGAUCAAGAGGGUGCUAGACUCGGCCUGAAGUAUUUAUUGAAUGUUGUCACACUGCCCAUAGAGGGUGUAAGGCCCGUAAGGCCGGCGUCUAGAUUACCUCGCUGGUUCCUCUCGAGAGUCGGGUUGCUUGAAAGUGCAGCCCUAAGUAGGUGGUAAACUCCAUCUAAGGCUAAAUAUUCCCACGAGACCGAUAGCGAACAAGUACCGCGAGGGAAAGUUGAAAAGAACUUUGAAAAGAGAGUUCAAUAGAGCGUGAAACUACCACGAGGCUAAAGCGAGUGAGCGUACGUAUCCGAACGGUUUGAUUCAGUCCGCCCGAGCACGAUGAGCAGUGGGGGGUCGUAAUACGUCAUUAACGGAUCUCCCGAAAGGAUCCGAGCUUUACGCUCGGCCUCUAGGGUGACCGGCGUAUCCUCCGCUUUGCUCUGUAGGGGGACGCAUUUCCGGCCGAAGUAGGGCGUCGCGGCCGUUUCGGGGGUGUCUAAGACACGGGGGUCUUGGAAUCCGCAUCUUCUCGUCCCGGCGCGCUCUACCGCCUCGCCUUCGCGGAGGGGCGGCAUCACGCCGGGGUCGCGAGUCGAGCGGGGCCGCCUCGUUGAUCUGACGGC